UACAGAGGUCCCGAGCGUUGUUCGGAUUACUGGGCGUAAAGGGGGCGUAGGCGGUGGGGUCAGUUUGAGGUUAAAGCUCCGGGCUCAACCCGGAAAAUGCCUUGAAAACUAUCCGGCUAGAGGGUUGGAGGGGAGACUGGAAUUCUCGGUGUAGCAGUGAAAUGCGUAGAUCUCGAGAGGAACACCAGUGGCGAAGGCGGGGCUCUGGACCAAUACUGACGAUCAGGUGCGAAAGCGUGGGGAGCAAACAGG
rnacentral:rRNA from 1 species